AUGUCAAGUCAUAGCAAUGAGAUUUUGCAGACAAGGGUCAAAUCCCCCCUUGUAGAAGGUGCAGAAGAAAGGGUUCAAGGCUCCCCAUGUGUAAGCCUUAGAUCCAGUCUGCUCAAGAUUCCAUCUAAUGCUAGCCUUAAAUCCAAGCAUUCAUCUAGGCAUAGCAGUUCCUCCCAAUCCACACACUCAUUCAUCAGUACUUCUUCCAAAGCAGCCCACUACAACAGAGAGGCUGUCCGUUUGAAAAUUAGAAAAGAGGUUUUAGAAGCAGAGGCGUCUGCAGAAAUGGCUAGGCAAGACUUUGCCUUCAAUGAAGAGGAACUCCUCCUUCAACAGGCUAAAGCCAAGCAGAAACUGCUUCUAGCGCAGGCUAGGGCUCAGAGAGAAAUAGAGCUUGCAAUGGCUGAAGCCAAGCAAGAUGAACUGCAACGGGAUCUAGAUCUGCUUCAAGUAAAAAGAGACACAGCACAAAAGAUAGUCAGAGCUAACAUUCUAGCCAAAGCUCUAUCACAGGAACUAACCCAAGAAAACCUUAGUUUCCUGCCAACACAAGAGCCUACAGCAAAGGUUUCAGCACAUCUGCAACUGGAAUCACCUGUAGUGCAGAGUCAUAUCUCCUUUCGCCACCUUGAAGAUCGCUCACCUGUUCCAGUGUUUGCAACUUCAAGGCCAGCCCAUUCCUCAGAAGUACAGCAAAGCACGGCCGGGAGAGUGCCAUCUCUGUCAGAGUCCAUCCCUGUACUUAGGCCUCAGAGAUACCACUUGUCUACUUGGGAACAAAAGGAUGACGUCUUUCAACAACAUCCAGAUGUCCAUCCACAUUGGCAAGGCAUGGCCGGGAGUGAACCACCACAUUCAUCCCUGCAUACCAAGUCAGUUCUCCCAUCGCUGAAGAUGAAGGCUUCAGAGGUGCUGCCUGCCAGCAAUCUGCUGAACCCAGCAUCGCCUACCAUCGUGAAAAGAUGUGUUCAACCGAAGAACAUUGAGUUUGUCACGCCACAUCACACUCCUCAGAUGUACCCUUACACACUGGAGUCUCAAUUGGGUUCCCUCUUGAGAAAUCCAAGAAGAGACAUCAGAGACAAAGGCGUCCAGAAAUUCACUGACCGACCGGAUGACUACCUUCUGUGGAAAAUCACCUUCAUGAGGGCCAUUCGAGAUUUCAAGCUAGAAGCGGAUGAAGAACUGUCCCUUCUUAUGGCGUGGCUUGGACCCAGCUCAGCCGAGCAAGUAAAAAGACUUUACGCUGCUCAUGUAGCAGACCCCCAAAGAGCAUUGUCCACAGCGUGGUCUCGCUUGGACCAGCGCUUCGGUGCGAGCACUGAGAUAGAAGCGUCCCUCAUGGAUCGACUCAACAGGUUCCCAUCACUGAAGAUGAAAGAUUGCAAACAGCUUUGGGACUUUAGUGAUCUUUUACUAGAGCUAGCUUCAGCCAAAGGAAAUCCAGAGCUGCCAGGUUUAGCAUGUCUGGACCAGCACACAUCACAGAGUGCCAUUCUCUGCAAACUUCCUUUUCCUCUUCGAGAAGCUUGGGGGAAACAGGUGUUCAAGUACAAAGAGGAGAAUGCAAAUGUAUACCCGCCCUUCACCUUUUUGGUGGAUUUCGUCACUAGAGCAGCCCGUGAGAGGAAUGACCCUCAAACAGGUCUUCUCGCUUUGUACCAAGACCUAAAGCCUGAAAAGACCUCUAAAGAAGACAAAACCCAGGGCAAAGAUCUUAGAAGGAACUUGAGUGUCAAGAUGACAGAUGCAACUCCUGCAACUUCUGCUCAACCAGUCAGCAACAACACCAUAUCCUGUCCCAUUCAUCAAAGGCCACACAGCCUAGCUGAAUGCAGAGAGUUUGCAAAGAAGCCUUACAAAGAACGACUCCAAAUAAUUCAAAAGGCCAAGGUGUGCUUUAGAUGCUGCGGCGCCACUAUUCACUUUUCCAAAGACUGCAAAGAAAAGGUUCAAUGCCAACACUGCAACAGCAUCAAGCAUUGCUCUGCAAUGCACAACUACGAUUCCCCUCAAUUCAAAGCAAAGUCAAAUUCUCCUACCAAAGAAGAAACCAAAGAAGACCAAAAGCCUACAGAACCUCAGGUAGCCCUCAAGGCUCCUGCGGUUCUGUAG
rnacentral:lncRNA from 1 species